rnacentral:rRNA from 1 species
UACGGAGGGGGCUAGCGUUGUUCGGAAUUACUGGGCGUAAAGCGUGCGCAGGCGGUUUUGUACGCCAGAUGUGAAAGCCCCGGGCUCAACCUGGGAACUGCAUUUGGGACUGCAAGGCUGGAGUACGGCAGAGGGAGGUGGAAUUCCACGUGUAGCAGUGAAAUGCGUAGAGAUGUGGAGGAACACCGAUGGCGAAGGCAGCCUCCUGGGCUAGUACUGACGCUCAUGCACGAAAGCGUGGGGAGCGAACAGG